rnacentral:rRNA from 1 species
AGCGAACGCUGGCGGCAGGCCUAACACAUGCAAGUCGAACGAACUCUUCGGAGUUAGUGGCGGACGGGUGAGUAACCCGUGGGAACGUGCCUUUUGGUUCGGCAUAACUCAGGGAAACUUGUGCUAAUACCGAAUGUGCCCUUCGGGGGAAAGAUUUAUCGCCAUUAGAGCGGCCCGCGUCUGAUUAGCUAGUUGGUGAGGUAACGGCUCACCAAGGCGACGAUCAGUAGCUGGUCUGAGAGGAUGACCAGCCACACUGGGACUGAGACACGGCCCAGACUCCUACGGGAGGCAGCAGUGGGGAAUCUUGCGCAAUGGGCGAAAGCCUGACGCAGCCAUGCCGCGUGAAUGAUGAAGGUCUUAGGAUUGUAAAAUUCUUUCACCGGGGACGAUAAUGACGGUACCCGGAGAAGAAGCCCCGGCUAACUUCGUG